rnacentral:misc_RNA from 1 species
UCCGGUUUGUCACCGGCAGUCUUCUUAGAGUUCCCACCAUAACGUGCUGGUAACUAAGAACAAGGGUUGCGCUCGUUACGGGACUUAACCCAACAUCUCACGACACGAGCUGACGACAGCCAUGCAGCACCUGUCUCUGUGUUCCUUGCGGCACUCCUACCUCUCGGUAAGAUUCACAGGAUGUCAAGGGUAGGUAAGGUUCUUCGCGUUGCAUCGAAUUAAACCACAUGCUCCACCGCUUGUGCGGGCCCCCGUCAAUUUCUUUGAGUUUUAACCUUGCGGCCGUACUCCCCAGGCGGAGAACUUAGCGCGUUAGCUACGAUACUAAGAAGCUAUGCUUCCCAACAUCUAGUUCUCAUCGUUUACAGCGUGGACUAC